AUGGUACAUAGAACUGCAGAUUGUACCUCCGUCAUCCCGCCGUCCUCACCCCAUCAUUGUGCGCCCCCGCCUGUCCGCUCACGCAUUCACAUUGAGGAAGAUGAUGAGUACCUCGGCCACGCCGCCGUCCUCUCCCCGUCGUCGCGCGUCCCCGCUCGUCAUCCAUCCGCAGCUUUUCCAGUCCCGACCGCCGGAGAGUCGCGCCGCUGGGAACAAGCACCUUGCAAUCGUGGUGUGCUUCUCCGUUGGUGCUGUCGUAUAGACAUCUUGCAAAAUGAGAGCUUCACAGAGGUCCUCCUGGUGUGGGAGAUCAUGAGAGCCUAG
rnacentral:rRNA from 1 species